rnacentral:lncRNA from 1 species
UUCAUCAAAUCCGCACGUGUAUAGAUUAUAUUAUAUUAGUCCAAAGUCAACACGACACGAGCACACAACUAUACGAGUGAUCUACUGAAAAACGAUACGCCGCUGGAAAGAAAACAAUAAUAGCAUAACGGAAACGCUGAACACGAAGGCCAGGGGAAAUGCGCGUUGGCCGCCGCCGCUGCCGCAGUCGUUUUUUCACUCGAUCCAUGUUUUUGAUUCCACCCCAGCUCUUAUAUACGCACACAAUAUGCAUCAGAUGGCCAAUGGCCAUAUCGAGAGACCGGAGACGAUUUACGCCAAGAAAAAUGUCCAAAAGUGGUGGUGAAAACAUCGUAUAUUGUGACAACUGCAGCAGAUACCAGACGUCAUCGACUUUACUAACCACGGUCAAGUCUGGAUUAAUGAUAAGGGGAGGGAUUAAUGAUCUGGUUGAUAACUAACCAGAGGCAUAGCAGUCUUGCGCGAUUAUACCAUAACCAUAUGAUGGAUUAUAUUAUUGUUUAUAAUUGUAAUGAUUAAACGAUAAUACGAUGUCUGUAGUA